rnacentral:misc_RNA from 1 species
CUGGAAAGGCGAUUGGAAGAACUUCACAGAACCAGGAGAUCCGAAGAACGAAUCCGGAUUCUUCCCUCACGGAGCGGCAGGCGUUUUUAAAGGCGCGUCUCUGGUUUACCUCAGCUACAUCGGCUACGACGCUGUAUCGACGAUGGCGGAAGAAGUUCGGAAUCCGGCGAAGGAUAUUCCAAUCGGCGUCUCCGGCUCCGUCGUGCUUGUCACCGUCUUCUACUGCUUAAUGGCGGCUUCAAUGACCAAGCUCCUUCCCUACGAUAUGAUCAAGG